AUAAUCGUGCCGGUAAUCGUUGAUGAUAACUUUUACCGGUGAGGAAAGUCCGGGCUCCACCGGAAAGAAUGCUGGGUAAUAACCAGGCAGAAAAUGGCAGUUGUUUAUUUAUAAACAUAACCCUUUUUCUGACAGACAGUGCCACAGAAAACAAACCGCCCGCAAGGGUAAGGGUGCAAAGGCGGGGUAAGAGCCCACCGGGGUUCUGGCGACAGAAUCCGCAAGGCAAACCUCAUUCGGAGCAAAGUCAAGCAGCAGUAUGGUUUUCCGGGCCUUAUACUGCGGGUAGACUGCUAAAGGCUUUUGGCAACAAAAGUUUUGGAUAGAUGGUUAU
rnacentral:RNase_P_RNA from 1 species